rnacentral:rRNA from 1 species
GUGGGGAAUAUUGGACAAUGGGCGAAAGCCUGAUCCAGCCAUGCCGCGUGUGUGAAGAAGGUCUUCGGAUUGUAAAGCACUUUAAGUUGGGAGGAAGGGCAGUAAGUUAAUACCUUGCUGUUUUGACGUUACCGACAGAAUAAGCACCGGCUAACUUCGUGCCAGCAGCCGCGGUAAUACGAAGGGUGCAAGCGUUAAUCGGAAUUACUGGGCGUAAAGCGCGCGUAGGUGGUUUUGUAAGUUGGAGGUGAAAUCCCCGGGCUCAACCUGGGAACUGCCUCCAAAACUGCAUGACUAGAGUACGGUAGAGGGUAGUGGAAUUUCCUGUGUAUCGGUGAAAUGCGUAGAUAUAGGAAGGAACACCAGUGGCGAAGGCGACUACCUGGACUGAUACUGACACUGAGGUGCGAAAGCGUGGGGAGCAAACAGGAUUAGAAACCCCUGUAGUCC